rnacentral:rRNA from 1 species
GGAGGCAGCAGUGAGGAAUAUUGGUCAAUGGGCGCGAGCCUGAACCAGCCAAGUCGCGUGAGGGAUGAAGGUUCUAUGGAUCGUAAACCUCUUUUAUAAGGGAAUAAAGUGCGGGACGUGUCCCGUUUUGUAUGUACCUUAUGAAUAAGGAUCGGCUAACUCCGUGCCAGCAGCCGCGGUAAUACGGAGGAUCCGAGCGUUAUCCGGAUUUAUUGGGUUUAAAGGGUGCGUAGGCGGCCUUUUAAGUCAGCGGUGAAAGUCUGUGGCUCAACCAUAGAAUUGCCGUUGAAACUGGGGGGCUUGAGUAUGUUUGAGGCAGGCGGAAUGCGUGGUGUAGCGGUGAAAUGCAUAGAUAUCACGCAGAACCCCGAUUGCGAAGGCAGCCUGCCAAGCCAUUACUGACGCUGAUGCACGAAAGCGUGGGGAUCAAACAGGAUUAGAUACCCUGGUAGUCCACGCAGUAAACGAUGAUCACUAGCUGUUUGCGAUACACUGUAAGCGGCACAGCGAAAGCGUUAAGUGAUCCACCUGGGGAGUACGCCGGCAACGGUGAAACUCAAAGGAAUUGACGGGGGCCCGCACAAGCGGAGGAACAUGUGGUUUAAUUCGAUGAUACGCGAGGAACCUUACCCGGGUUUGAACGCAUUCGGACCGAGGUGGAAACACCUUUUCUAGCAAUAGCCGUUUGCGAGGUGCUGCAUGGUUGUCGUCAGCUCGUGCCGUGAGGUGUCGGCUUAAGUGCCAUAACGAGCGCAACCCUUGCCACUAGUUACUAACAGGUAAAGCUGAGGACUCUGGUGGGACUGCCAGCGUAAGCUGCGAGGAAGGCGGGGAUGACGUCAAAUCAGCACGGCCCUUACAUCCGGGGCGACACACGUGUUACAAUGGCGUGGACAAAGGGAAGCCACCUGGCGACAGGGAGCGAAUCCCCAAACCACGUCUCAGUUCGGAUCGGAGUCUGCAACCCGACUCCGUGAAGCUGGAUUCGCUAGUAAUCGCGCAUCAGCCAUGGCGCGGUGAAUACGUUCCCGGGCCUUGUACACACCGCCCGUCAAGCCAUGGGAGCCGGGGGUACCUGAAGUCCGUAACCGCGAGGAGCGCCCUAGGGUAAAACUGGUGACUGGGGCUAAGUCGUAACAAGGUAGCCGUACCGGAAGGUGCGGCUG